UCCCUGGAGGACUAGUGGUUAGGCCACAGCACUCACACUGCCACAGCCCAGGUUCAAUUCCCGGCCAGUGAA
rnacentral:tRNA from 1 species